rnacentral:rRNA from 1 species
CCUACGGGUGGCAGCAGUGAGGAAUAUUGGUCAAUGGGCGGAAGCCUGAACCAGCCAAGUAGCGUGCAGGAUGACGGCCCUACGGGUUGUAAACUGCUUUUAUACGGGAAUAACGCGCCUUACGUGUAGGGCUUUGCAUGUACCGUAUGAAUAAGGACCGGCUAAUUCCGGGCCAGCAGCCGGGGUAAUACGGAAGGUCCGGGCGUUUUCCGGAUUUUUUGGGUUUAAAGGGGGCGUAGGCCGCAUGUCAAGCGUGCUGUGAAAUGUGCGGGCUUAACCCGGGCCUUGCAGUGCCAACUGGCGUGCUUGAGUCCGCGGAAAGCAGGCGGAAUGCGGCGUGUAGCGGUGAAAUGCUUAGAUAUGACGAAGAACCCCGAUUGCGAAGGCAGCUUGCUGCAGCGGAACUGACGCUGAUGCUCGAAAGCGCGGGUAUCGAACAGGAUUAGAUACCCUUGUAGUC